UACAUACUCCCUCCGUCCGGGAAAGCUUGUCCCUCAAAUGGAUGUAUCUAGCACUAACUUGGUGCUAGAUACAUCCAUUUGAGGGACAAGCUUUUUCGGACGGAGGGAGUAUUAC
rfam:Triticum aestivum genome assembly, contig: Triticum_aestivum_CS42_TGACv1_scaffold_640930_T_1BS-0.166478_4DL-0.138265